CUGCUAGUAUGUGCUUCUACCACCCACCUCUGUCACUGCUACCCCUGUCUGUGUGUGCGAUGCCGGCCUUCUCCAUCAUAAAGUCCUGUAUAGUGCACAGGGCUGAGAAAUGCUAUGCUAGGGCUACCUGUUUAUAAUCAUGUCUUAUAAUCAUCCCAAUCCCCACAUUUAUACCAUGACCAAACUUUAACACCAACAGAAAAAAAAUUCCACAAAUCUCAGUAUUGCAAUCCAGCACCGCUAAUGACCCACAAUCUUAUUUACCCAAUAUCUACUGCACAAAUGUGUCCAUAAUAAGUCUCAGAAUAUCCAU